AAUUGAAGUAGAGCUGGCACUCAAACAUGGGCCUUAAUAUAACAUGAUACGGAGGAAUGGUGAUCAACAAACUGAUCCAGCUGACAUAUUUUAAUCGAUUACUCAGGAAUGUAGGACCAAAAAUGCAAAUGGAGGCAGAGAGCAGGGGGGCAGUUUGGAAAAUCCAGAAGAUAUUGAAGCUACUAAUUUUGGGCAACCAGAAGAUAUGCAAGGCAGUAGAUAGAUCCCAGCAUAUAAGAGGAAACAAAGAAGAUAAUGGGCAGAAAAAUAUAUUAUUACUGAUUUGGGGAACACUGUCAAUAAUAUAGGAAAUAUUGACAUUGAUUUUGUUUUCUAAAAUAACUCUAUGUUUUGAUUUAAAUCCGUCCCGGAGGGAGGCUAGACUAUCAUGGUUAUUAUAAUGAAUUAUAAUUGGUGUUAUUGAUAGUA